CGGAGCCAGCGGCAGAGGUGGGGUACGGAAGAUCCAGGCGAUUAUCGAAGGAGGCUUUGCUAAAGACGGGAAGGAAAGACAAGAGGAUCCAUCCCCAAGACAAAAGCUGGCACUUCCAGGUAGAUUUUUCAUUGUCCUCUCCUGUCUUCUGAACCCGUGAAUACUUUUUGCAUGAAGACUUGAAGCAGCUGGGAGGCCAAGAUAUCGGCCAAGAAAAGCUACAAGGAACAGAGCCUUGCACGUUC